rnacentral:lncRNA from 13 species
GCUUCGUUCCAUUUUAUAAGUGAAUAAUAUUCUGUCAUAUGGAUAAGCCACAUUUUGUUUAUCCAUUGAUGGACACUUAGGUUGUUUUCCUCUUGUUGCUAUUGUGAAUAAAGUUGCUAUGAACACUCAUGUAUAAAUUUUUUAAAUUCUAAUUUACGAUGUUUGCAUUUCAGGAACCCAUUUAUCAUUUCUCAAGUACUGCUUGUCUGUUGUGAAUGAAGGUAAAAAAAAAAGGAGUUGGCAGGUCAACCAGAUGUGCCUUACUUAUUGACAAAGCAAAGCAGAAUCUUGGUUCAAAUACACAGAAGCCUUGAAGUAUAAUUCAUCCCUUUGGUCCUAGAAUCACAGGCAAGAUGAUCUUUUAUUAUCUGACUGCACAAAAGAGGGUUGUUGUGGGGGAUGGAAAUUGUGCCC